AUGAACUGUAUCCUCUGCCCCCGAAAGGGUGGAGUGAACAGGGAAACCACCACACUUCUCCGAGAAUCAUCACCAGUCUGGAUUCCGCACUGGGCUAGGCAGAUAGCAGCGACGGCAGUGGCAGCAGGGACCGGAUCCCCGGCAGGGACCGAGUUGGCGGAGGGCGCCCCGGGCCGGCGGCAGCGUUGGAGCUGUGGCUCAACAAAGCCACAGACCCAAGCAUGGUGGAGCAGGAUUGGUCAGACAUCCAGAAGUUCUGUGAGAAGGUGAACACCGACCCCAGUGGCCCAACACGCCCUGGCUACUGGCCUACAAGAUCCAGUCUCCACAGGAGAAGGAAGCCCUUUAUGCCCUGACGGUGCUGGAGAUAUGCAUGAACCACUGCGGAGAGAAAUUCCACAACGAAGUGGCCAAGUUCCGCUUCCUGAACGAGCUGAUCAAAGUAUUGUCCACAAAGUACCUAGGGGCCUGGGCUACAGAGAGGGUUAAGGGAAGAGUUAUUGAAGUCCUCUUUAGCUGGACAGUCUGGUUUCCGGAAGACAUCAAGAUCCGAGAUGCUUAUCAGAUGCUGAAGAAGCAAGGAAUCAUAAAGCAAGAUCCAAAACUACCAAUGGAUAAAAUCUUGCCCCCACCAUCUCCCUGGCCAAAGAGUAUCUUUGAUGCUGAUGAGGAAAAAUCUAAGCUUCUGACAAGACUUCUUAAGAGCAACCACCUUGAGGACCUUUAGGCUGCAAACCGGCUGAUCAAGAAUUUGGUCAAGGAAGAACAAGAAAAGUCAGAAAAGGUGUCCAGGCGAGUCAGUGCAGUAGAGGAAGUCCGGAGCCAUGUGAGGGUGCUUCGUGAGAUGCUGACCAUGUACUGAAGGCCAGGCCAUGCCCUGCCUGACCAGCAGGCCCUGCAGGUUGUGUAUGAAAGAUGUGAGAAGCUGCGGCCCACCCUGUUCCGGCUUGCAAGUGACACUACUGAUGAUGACGACGCACUGGCGGAGAUUCUUCAAGCAAAUGACCUUCUCACGCAGGGGGUUCUGCUAUACAAACAGGUGGUGGAGGGCCGAGUCAAUGCUGGGAAUGCAGUACCUGCCCCAGUGGGAGCCAUUCCUGCCCCCAGAGUAUUCCCGAAUCCAGAACCCUGUGGGAAGAACUGCCCCCUCAUUGACCUGGAGACGCAAUCUUUGCUUCAUCAGGACCUGGCAGCCUUAGGGAUCAACGAUGUUCCCACUAGGAACCAGGUUGUUAUUCCAAGUUGCUGUCAGGACAAGAAGCAACCAGGUGCCAUCACACUCCUGGGGGGUGGAAUCCAGAGUCUUUCUGCAGACCGGAACUUGCUGGAUCUCUUCUCACCACAGCCAUCUCCAGGACCACUGAAUUAUGUUCCACAAAAAACCAUCCCCAAGGAGGUGCCACCAGGUACCAAGGCUUCUCCAGGUUGGUCCUGGGAGGCUGGGCCAUUGGCUUCUUCAACAGCCUCACAGAAUACACCUCUGGCUCACUUGUUUGUCCCUUUGGAGUCUGUGAAACCCAGCAGCCUGCCGCCCAUCAUCAUGUAUGACCCGAGCGGCUUCCGAAUUCUGCUGCACUUCUCCCAGACUGGGGCCCCUGGCCACCCGGAUGUCCAGGUGCUGCUGUUGACCAUGAUGAGCACGGCCACCCAGCCCGUCUGGGAUGUCAUGUUUCAGGUGGCCGUCCCAAAGUCAAUGCGGGUGAAGCUGCAGCCAGCAUCCAGUUCCAAGCUCCCUGCAUUCAGUCCUUUGAUGCCUCCAGCUGUGAUAUCUCAGAUGCUGUUGCUUGACAACCCACACAAAGAACCUAUCCGGUUUCGAUAUAAGCUGGGUGGGCAGCCGUUCAGUGAAGUAGGAGAGGUGAAAGACUUUCCAGACCUGGCCGUCUUGAGCACUGCCUGACUUCUCAACCAAGACUCUUCAGUCAAGCUUUGGCCUGUGUUCUUUUACUGUCUAGUCGGGACUUGUUGUAAUGUAGUGC